rnacentral:lncRNA from 1 species
AUCAUUUUUGCCAUACUAGCACAGAUACUCUUAGAUACUUUACCGAAAAAGGCAGAAAGAGGCAAUUAUUUUACUUGCCCUAUCACUGUUUCAGUUUGCCAACUGGUCCGCUGAGGAGAUGCAGGGGAUAAAAGGCAAUGGUUGACCAGAAGGAGAGGAAUACUUCAUGUCACUGAAGAAGAACAAACAUGAUGAAAUUAAGAAAGGAUCAUUUCCUAUUGGCUUCUACUGACUUUGAAUGCACUUCAGUUCUUUCCUGCUGUUAUCAUCCUGAAAAAGCGAAACGUGCUGUUAAAGACCAGAUUCUCACAGUGCAGCAUUGUCUCAUUUGAGAACAAGGUGCAACUGGAUCCCCCACGGAUGAGUAGCUCUCUGUACUGUUCCUCAGAGUCCCAAAGGAACUGUUUAGAGCAAAGGGCUGCGGACUGCUCAGCUGUGCUAACUUACAAAAAGAUCUCCACUCAUAGAAACAGCAGUAGCCCAGUUCCUUUGGUGAUCAGUGCUGCAGUACGUGCACGGCAAUGAACUGAUGAAAGGAGUAGUUUGCUUAAUAACAAUCAGGAUUGACAGAUAAAACACAAGACAGGAGGUGACAAACUGACUGGCAAGAGUAGACACUUGGGACAAUAAGUAGUUUUGAUUCUUCAUCGGACAGUCAUCUAUGAAAUAAAAUUCAGCAAAGGUAAACUGCUGUGACACCAGAAUGAUUACUACCAGAAGCACCUCCCUGCAACUUGCAUUCUAGGAGAACAGUUUGAAUACUUUCACUCGUGGAAAAUGAAAUAGCACAGCGGAUGCCCACAGAUGCUAAGGACAGUGGAUUUAUGUCCUGGAUGAUGGUCACACCCUGAAUCCUGGUAGUUCAAUGGCUGCCUCUCAAAGUGAUACAGUGUGAAGGUUACCUGCAUCAAGACUGUGAGGCUGGCAGGAGUUAGAAGUUCUGCAUGUGGGAGAGAGGUGCCCCAGUCUGAAGAUGCUCAACGAUGCUUCUGUACACGAGGCACUACUGAAAGAUGAAGUGGCUCUUUUAACAGUAAGGCAUAUAUAAUGGACCCAGAAUAACUGUGCAUGCUUCCAAAAUGUUACCACAGCUGAGGUUCAUCCUUGAACUCUGGUGGUCUGGAACAACUGCCUUACCAGUUCUCUCUGACAGAUGUAGUCUGACUCAAUCACAAGCAAACUGUGCAACAGACAGAACAGUAUAUUUAACCCCAGAGUGUUCAUCAGAUGAAACAGGCCAUGGAAACAAUGACAUUUAAGUGCUACUUGUAAUCUUCAUCAUUGGCCACCUCAAGCUAUUUGCAUCUCCCUUCUGGCAGCUGACUGAGUGUAACUUUCCUGGGAAGAGCUGUGUACUAUUCAAGCCACAUCUAAAACUCAAGCUUCCAUCACCGAGGGAAAGAACUCUGAGCUGGUUUUACAACAGCAGAACAUUGUCUGGCUGAAGCAUUAUGACAGAAAGGGAUAGUAAUACAGCUGUUAAAAGUUUGCUCUCUUCUGUACUCAAGGAAUCCAUCAAAGAACUCUUCUAGAAGAAGAGCCCAUAUGCGGAGUAAGACAGCAUGAUGUAUGAAUCCCAUCGCUGAAAUCAACUCUUGGAUUCAACAGUGCCAUUUGAACGGACAAAACCAUUAUUUUCUUUAGCCAUUCAAGCAAGGGAAACAUACUAACUCAAUUGCCAGCAUAGCUACCAGAAGGAAAUUGUGUAUGCUUUUUAGUAUUCAAGACCUUGCUCUAUUGCCUUACUCAUAUGAAAUUCAGCAUCUCUUUUGAAAACAGCAAAACAAUGACUUUGUCUCCAUUUUAAUUUGGAAGGAGUCCAAAUUAAGCUAUUAUGAGAGAUAAAUGAUAUAAUGAGAGUUGCAUGCAAUUUACUGAAAAAAAAAAUGAACAAGCAAAAUGACCUCUCAAAUGUUUGCAUUUUUCUUUUUUGAACUUACUGAAAUUUUUAUGUUCUAGGUAGUGAAGUCAAGUUUCAUAUUCAGCUUUCCUGUUAAUGUUAACAUGUACAUGACAGGUUCCAACUAAGCAGAAAAAUAGGACAUUAGGAUGCCAACCUAGCGUUCCGUUAUUAUCAAGAAUAAAUGAACUCAACUUAAACAGAGUUUCUAUAUUAACUAUUUCCAGAAUACACUCCUAUGCAGAACACUGUCUCGUAGGAAUUUGACUGGCAAAUAUCAGAUAUUCUGGCACUGAAAAGAAAAUCUGAGAACCUUUGUUACUGAAGCUGUAGUGGUGAACAAAAAUAGACUGCAAGCACUGGUGGAAACAUGGGCUACAGGGCCCUGUGAUCACAAACCUUCUGAGCAGGAAAGUCUGCCCGCUUAUAGAAAAGGUCAUCUUCAGUUUUGCAGCUCCAGGCUUUUAAUCUUAAGUAAGCCAAUCAGAUCUGAAUUAAGUGAUGAACGUAUUAUGUUAAUGAGCAUAAUUAUGCUAAUGAACAUUCCUUCAAGGAAUCUUCAUUCUUGAUUCAUUAGUUAGAUGUUACCAUCUGAAACCAAUGGAAAAUGUUUUGAAAAACUCAAUUAACCCCUCUGGGGUAAUCUUAAGACCUUAACAGACUGUCUUCCAGUGCUACCUCUGUUAUUUAUUCCCAGAUUUGUCUGUAGUCAUCAUUUCACUCAGAGUCCUCUGCCUUUUUAAACUUAUUUUUCUUCUGACAGUUACUUCAACCCUGCCGGAAAAACAAAACAAAACAAAAAUCUAUAAUCAUGUUUUAUUACUGCACUGCAGGCUCUGCAAUCCAGAUCCCAACAGUAUCACCUUCUGAACAAGCAUGGGAAAAUGCUAAAACAGCAGAAAAGUUGUCAGAGCCUGCCUGCACUAUUGACUAACCAGAGACUAGCUUGGGACAGGCACUAUCCAGCCAGCAAAUAGGCAGCUUUCUGCAGUACACUGUGUACUUCUUAGGGAUGGCACUUACUGUUUGGUGCCAGUGUGCUCCCGUGUUACAUUCCUGGUCCCACACAAUUACAUGUGUAUCUAAGGUUGCACUUACACUCCCACCUGUUAAGGUAACACACAGGAAGUAUCAUGGUAAGCUAUUAACAGCACAUGUUUUUACAGGACAGUAGCCUAUUUGUUCAGAUGAAUUCAAGUCACUUAAAAGUUAUUCCAUCCAUGGCUGGUAUUAAUAGCAUCCACACGUGUAACAUUUAUAUCAGUGGACAUAAAUCAGCAUCAGUCUAUUAAAUUCAAAACCACAUCAUUUCGGCUCAGCAGCUGACACUACAGGCUUACAAAAGAAACACUUAACAUAUACUUUUCCAUGAUGAAACGUGAGAAUAUGUCUAUUGAUGGUUACGUGUUCUCUACAAGAAGCCUCUCUGAGCCUUAAGGUUUACUUUCCAUAAUCAGCAGCACCUCCCCAGUGGGUUUUUAAUAUGUUUUAUCAGCUUAGAGUUCCUGAACAUCACACUUGCAUGUGGAAAGGCCAGAGAAUUGCCAGCUCUCGAUCAGCUGCAGUGAAAGCACAGCUUUGUAGUCCCAAAGCCCUGACUAUACCUGGGAGUGCAUACAUGGUAUCUGAUUGAAGUUACAGGUGUUAUAAUUCUCCUCUUGCCAGUGGGUCAUUAUUUCACUCCAUCAAAAGAGAAAAAUAAAACAUGUGAAGAACUCUGCAGUGACCUGCUUAGUCCCACAGAGGUCACAGUAGAGACUGAUUUAUGAUGACUGACAACUGCCUAUGAUUAUGAAAAUUGCUAGCCAGGACAGCAUAUAUUACUGAUGCCUGCUGAAUAGGGCACAGAGAAAUCAUUUUCCCUUUUAGUAUUCCUAAAGGUUUACUGUUCUUAGCUUUAUUCAAAGAAACUUAAGACCCGAGGAAAACAAUGCUGUGUAUAUAAACAGGGCAAACAUUAUGCUGUUAUUUAAAAAUGUCAGCCUGAUACUUGAUGUAAGGUUCUGACUUAAUAUGUAAGGCAAAACAAAUGAGUUUGAAAAUCUCUGUUUAGUGGUUUAGAAAAUGGGAUCUGAGAUUGCUUUAAAGAAGGUCAUAAAGACCUCUCAACCUCUCCUUUUAUUUAUGUUUUCUCAAAUAUAUUGACUGGCUUGAUGGUGCACCACAGACAAAUAUCUACAUGCUUCACAUAAUGAAACAGUGUCAUUACCUUAUCUGGACAAACUCCCAGUGUAAUUGCAACCAAAGUAAAACAGCUCUGAGACUGCAAAGAAGUGUCAAAACAGGAAAUACAAUAGCAUAGACCUGAGAUGUUUUCCAUUUGCAGACUUUCAUAUAGGUGUCUUUUUUCAUACUUUUAGCCCUAUAUUGGAAAGCAUAAUUUGAUGAUAGACGUGAAACUGUGUAUUAGUUUUUAUUUUGACAAAUUCAUUAGACAUCACAUAGCUUGAAAAAUGAACCAGGAGGCACUAAGUCAGCCUGAGAAGAUUGUACUUCAUAAACUGAAUUGCUCACAUGGGCAACAUUUUGGUGGAAGUUAUAGAUUUUCUAGCAUAUCCCUGAUAGAUAGCACUAAUAUAACUUCAAUAAAAACUCUGGAUAUGUCAAUAUAAAAUUUUUUCAAGCAUCGAAAGAUGUAAGAUACUUCAGCUAAUAAAUUGGAAGAUUCCCUGUUCCUCAAGGUACACUAACUUACACAUCAGAUUAUAAAGAGUAUUGAAGCCACACAGAGUACAGCAGGCAGCUGUAGGUUUGCUGCUUUUAGAAGUUGCACUAAAUUGAAUUAUCAAUAUAUGAAAGUAAUAAUUGGAAAUUAAGAUCUAGAUGACCCUUUUUGUAAAAAUGUUAGCAUUCUUCAAUUUUUAACUGUUAGAUGAUAGACAAUUUUUCAUAGCUGACAUGACUGAUAGACUGUAUUUGAUGCAAAUAAUUGAUGUUCCUUCUCUCUCUUCCUAACACAUGACCUUUCACUUACUUCCUUAUAUUGUUACCACUUCCAGAUUGAUAUGGUAUUGGAAAUGCAAAUGGUUAUCCUUCUUCUGAAAAAAACCUUACAGAACCUGAUGUAAGACUUCAUUGGUUACAACUGUAUGGGACAGGAUUGUGUGUAUGUAUAUAUAUAUUUACAUUUGUGGAUGUUUGCGCAUGCACACAAACAUAAAUACACAGUGUUAGAAUUUCUUUAAGUUAUACAAUUAUUUCUGUAUCUUACAGUGACCUACCACGCACAAAUUGUAACUGAAAGUAGCUGCAUGAUUAUUUGUACGCAUUCAACAACCAGUGACUGUAAAUAAAAAGAAGAUAUGGAAAUGCACUAACAUUUGAAUAAUGACAGCUUUUAAAAUAGAAAGAAGAUGACUUGGAAGAAAGUUACAGUUUCAAGUAGAAUGCUGGCAGGAAUUUGAGACACUGUUUGGACUUGCCUUAGAAAAAUCUUCAACUUUUAGUACAAAAAUGUAUUGUGGACAAGACGAAAUCUAGAGUAUCUACCAUACUUUGCACACUAUUUGAUACUUUUGCAAGGCUUGAGAGAGACUUUCUGGCCAACAGUAACAAACAGAUCAUACAGAGUUUGCAGUUACAUAAUAUUUUCCAAAUACUACUGCACUAGAAACUAAAAAGCCAUGUUCAAAUGUGUCAGAGGAAAUCAUUGUAAGGCUCUAUUAACACUACAGAGGCAAGCAUUCAAGUCAGGCAUCUGAACACCGUAUGAGCAGUAUGAUGAACGUGCAUAAUUGUAUGACCUGGGGUUAAGAAAAAGUACUCUUCUAAGGGCCCCAAACUCCACAAUAUACCUCAGUGAGAAAACUCUUCUCUUUGCUUGCUCCCAUAUUCUUGACUUGUAGAUUCUUAUAUUUUAAUUACAAGUAUGUAGAUAACUUAGAGUUUGUUGUUUGUUUGUUUGUUUUUUUCUGUCACAGGCAAAUUUUCUGUACUUCUACGUGGUAUUUGCCUCUAUCUCAACAAAGUAACUAAGAAGUUUCUGUGAAUUAAGAGCAGAGACAAAUAUAUUACAUCUCUUUAACUGAUGAAAGCAGCAGAUUUUCACUGAUCUGCAGGCAGCUGUUCUGUGUUCAGUGGAGUCGGAUGCCCAUCAUUUUCAUUUUUAUAUGAAAAAUGUUUCUUGGAAAACUCAUUAUCCCUAUUCAGGAGCCUUAAUAUAAAAUGAAAUUGGUCAAAAGGAUCUGAACACCUAAUACACAGUUCUGUCAUUCCUGUAUGGAACUUCUGGCAUAAAAGAAAACUGAGAAGGAUCACUAUUAGCAGUGGCCAGCUUUAGCUAAGCACUUCAAAAUGCACAGAACUAGGCAGAGAAUAGAUGAAGCUUUAUGCUGGUCUGACUGCUAGGGAAAUGAAUUUAUGUCUUCAGUAGCAUUUCCUUAGAAGAAUGCAUUGUGACUCCCUGUACACUCUGUAACACAAAGGGAUGAAGAUUUCUUUUGUUUUUGAGUCUCUGGUUUGGUUGUUGGUCAAGUACAACAGAAGGGGAAGAGGGAGUUACAUCUACAUGGUUGAAUAAAUAAAAAGUACUGAUAAAUACCGGAGUAAGAUUUUCCCUUCUGUAAGAAAAUGCAGUUGUUUCCAUAAUAUAUUCAUUAAAUGUAGAAAUGUAAAGGGUGUAUAUUCUUUUAUGUAUUCCCAUUUGACAAAUAAAUAACUGAUUAAUAUCUGUACUGCAUAUUCUUCCAGAAUAAUUAUUUCCUUUUGGAUGAACUCAGAAAACAAGUCAGUGGAUGAUACUAUACCUGUUUCCAGACAAAUACUUGUGAGCAUUCCCAACCUGUUAAAAGGAAGCAAUUAUGGUAGAGGACCAGACUACAUGGAUGACCUGAACCUUGCUCACAACAGAUGAGAAAAAAUGACAUUUUUCUCCUUUCUGAAAGACUUUUAUAGCUUGUGAAAAGGAAACUUCAAGGAAGGUGGGGAGAUUGAAGGCUGGACUGGUACGUAUGGGAGGUACAGACUGGUAGGAAUGUGAGACCUUAAAAGUGCCAACAAUAGGACUCACUGUGUUAACACAAUUGAAAAGCCAAAAAUGUCAAAUUGAGAUGUGUUAGUACUAAUAAAUAUAUACAUGUAUGUAUUUACGUAUAUGCAUAAAUAUAUAUAUAUAAACCAUAUCACUCAUGUUGACAGAAAAAGUAGGCACUUGUAUGUGAGUGCGCAUGCACUGGCAAAACUGCAUCUGACAAAACAGGCACACGUUUUCUGGGGUACCUUUUAGUAGGCGAAAACUUCAUCUGUUACAUCAUGAAAGAAGUUGCCACCAAUUUAAAAUUUAAUCUCAAACUGAUGCAAAAAUAGUCCAGUUAAGACUUUAAGGGUGUUACUCAGAAAUUGCAUUUAUUGGGCUGACUUGCUAAAGCAAAGUGAAAAUAUUUCCUAGAUUUAAAAUCUAUACAAAUUAUUUUUGACAUUACAACAAUUAAAGAUUUGUGCAGAUGUAAAAAAGGAGUAAUUGCUGAACAUUUCAUGCAAUCCAUUUUCCAGCAAUUCCUAUGAGGAAUGAUAUGUUCCUUGCUGAUUAUGGGCUGUGAGUAUGACCAGCCGGUUUCUUCAUUCUAAUUUCUCAUUGCUGUGUGUUUCUCUCACAAACCUUCACAUCUGCCUUAGUCUUGCUGCCCACUAGCAUAUGGUGCACUUGUGUUCUAGUUCAGAACAAGAAUAAAGAGUUUUUUUUCCUUUGAUACAUUUUGUUCACCAGAACUGGAAGCUCUUCCUUUUCUAUUGUACUACACCUGUAAUGAUCUCAGAACAUAUCAAUUGUCUUAAAGUUUUUCCUUCUUGAUUUAGUUAUGUUGUGAUAUCUCUUAUCUCCUAUCCUAAUCACACUAAAAUUAUCUAAGAACAGUAUAUAAAAAAGGACAAUUUCAGUUUUCUUCUAUACUGAAAGUAUUUGUAGGUCUGCAUGAACAAGCCUUGUCAGUAUCCUCCAUGGACUGAUUUGCCAUACUAACGUAAGAAAGAGUCCAAGUAUCUUUACUUACACAGUUAGGUAAAUGGAAUUUGAUUUGAUUUGCAAAUUCAAUGCAAAAUGGAUAUAUCUGAAACUUAAUUCUACUUCUACCUACUUAGACCUAUAGGAAAAUAAGACUGAAUGUAUAAAUAGGGUUUUACCAGUAUGUUUUAAUGUCUGCUCAGUCACUCAUAAUAAUGAUCAACAUGUUGAUUCUGACUAAAUGAAGCUGAAAAUCAGAUUUUCCCAAUAUAUCACAUCAGCAUACACAUCUGCUGAUCAGUGUUAAUUAGUCCUGUAUUUUCCAAUUUGUAAUCUGUGGAUGUUUUAUGGGGAUGUAAAUAGUAACAUAUUAGCAUUUAUAAUCUUUCUUUGGAAAGCUUAUGCUGAGCAAGUGACCAAUAAAUUGCAGUUAACGUAAACAUUAAUCAAAUUGAAUGCCAGUAUGGAAAGAGUCUCAAGUUUAGAGGGAAAAAUCAACUUUCUGUCAUGUAUUUUAUUGCUGAAGUGUAAUUAAGUAAGAUCAUGACGAUCUCUGAAUAUUCAAUGACAAAUAGAUAUAUUUGUUUCAAGAUCUGUGUGCCAUCCUGAAGCGCUAAUCACUUGACCAUUAGAGUGAAUGGAUGCCACUCAAUCUACAAUGGUGAAUUAAAUUUCCAGUGGUUGGAUGAAAGAAUAAAAAGAGAGAGAGAAAAAAUGCAUAAAUGAGUAUGAAAUGUUGUAAUAUGAGAGGUUAGUAUAUAAAGCCACAAAGUGAUGAGUACUUCACAGAAAUGUAAUGACCUACAUUUGGCCUAAACAAGCUAUUGUAUGACCAUAAAUGUACCAUUAUUUUGAACAAAUGAAGAUUGCAGAUAUAGUAGGUAAACAACAAUAAAUAUAAAACACACAAUCUGUUGUCAUGAGCAAAGAAAGUAUUUAAAUAUCAGUGCUGCUCUGCACUGCAAUAACUUUAUAUAUAUAUUUUUUUUCCCUCCAGCAUUUAUCUUGCUCUUAUAUGAUAUGCUUUUCCUCAAAAACAAACAAACAAAAAAAAAAGCCACAAACUACUGAAAGAAGUGAAGCUAAAACAGAGUAUUUUUAUGGAUUUCCUAGAGUGCACAUAUACAACCUGGAAUGAACGUACAGAAGGAAUGUUUAUCUUUAAGUUUGGCCAGGAAAAUGAAGAAUUGGAGAAUGGCUCACAGAGAGCUCAGUUUGAACAAAGGAAUUUCUCAAAUAAGUGCUUGCACCCAUCAAGGAUAAACACAAAUAAAACUUCUGGAAGUUACCAGGCCAGUUAUCUAUUUGGAGACUUGGUUAACUUUGAGCACUAUAUACAAAACAUAUGCUACCAAUCAUGCAAGUCACAGACCUCUGAUGAGGUGAAACCACAAUUUUUCAUACGUAAGUAUGAUGAAAGAGGUAAGUUUCAACCAGCUAAAGUGCCCGUGAAUAAUAACUUUGUAACAAGAAAGAUUAGGCCUGACAUGCAAACAUCUUUUUGUAAAAAGAAACUUUUUGAUCAAGCUGUGAAUUUAAAUGCAAUAACUGAAAAAAAAAAAAAAAGAAAGAAAGAAAAAAAAAAAGAUAAUAGAGGAAAAAUUUGUACAAGUUGCAAAGACCAUUCUCUCAAAAGGAGAAAAAGAUGAAAUGAAAUUGCCCUGUAUUCCCUGUUAACAAUUUUCUCUCCAACAUAUCUUAAGUUAACUAGCCUGAGGUAUAUCCUGUGGACACAGCAAUGACUGCAUGCACACCGUGUGCGCUCAAGAAUAGCAAGUAAGUAUGAAGUCGUGGAGUUAGUAAGGACUAGUAAGGACUUCACCACUAGGCCUGAAAAAAUGAAGAGAUCAUUGUGAUGUCCUUAAGGACCUCUCCUUAAGGACCUGACAGCCUGAGGCAGAUAGGAAGGACAUCACACUGAUGAGGUAGAAGUGUUUGUGAAAGCCCUAACAAUGUUUUUAUUUUUUUAUUUUUUAUUUUUAUUUUUUGCUUUUUACAGGAGAAACUAUAAGCUCAUUAAGAAAUGAUAAUCAUUCUGUUCCUCUCACAUAACAUGGAGAACUGUACAAGAUGGAAGAAUAUUAAGAGCUAUCACAGAGUACUAUACUCUAAUGAGGAAAGCUCAUGCUUCAAUUUCCUGAGUUUGACCUCUGAAAAGGCACUGAGCCUCUAGGAAUCAAGUGUGCUACAAACCAGCAUAAGGGCUGCAGAAUUUGAUGAAUGCAAGACAGAAUGGAAGCAGAAGAGAAAGUACGAUACGAGGAGGCGAACAGCUCUGGAGUACUGAGCUCAGCAGGCUAAAUACUACCGCCCUGAUAAGCAAUCUCCAAAGGUACGCGUGUACAAUGCCGACAACAGUCUGAAACUCUAUUGCUAUAUUUACAUUAAGGCACAGUAGAAGAUGGGGUGACAAAAGCAGCUGCUACUGAGGACUUGACAUUCAAAGCACACAUGUUUCGGAAGGUUUAUCCUGGACUAUCUUUAGGCAGGUUCUGUGGAUGAGCAUUCAUUGCGUUUCAAAAAGGUCUGCGGCUUGAGGUUAAACAAAAUGGAAUCAAGCUCACGUGCUCUGGAAUUACACAUGGUGUGAAUCCAAGCAGAACAAUUAAAAACAUCCAGGAAAUGAGCUUUAAAGUCACCUUCUUUUCUCCAAAUCUAAAUACUGAUGUAAGUGCAUCCUAUGUCAUUUAAAAUUCUCUUGACUUCACAAGUAUUCCAUGUAAAUUUCCCAAUGAAUUUUUGGGAAAUGGACCUUAAUGAAAAUUGAUUUUUAAAUAAAAGUUAUGUUGUUCUUAUUGGAGAACACAGUGAUUUGUAAUGUAAUAGGAGGUUUUUAUGUUUUGUUCAGACUAUCUGGAUAGACAAGAAGAAUGUGCAUGUAGGAAACGUACAGUCUGCAACACCUAUAAAGGUUACAAAAGUGUACAAAAACAUCUCUUGAAAUUUAAAAUAUUGUUGAUGAAAGGAAUGCUUUUAAACUUUUUAGAGGAGCCACACAUGACAUUUUACCCUUUAAAGAUGGGAAGGUAACAAGAACUUUUCUUCCCCAAAAUGUGGAGCACGCUCAGGUGAAGCUGAAACUGAAUUUCCAGUUAGAUCUCUGCUGCAGCUUACAAAGCUACCUAAAUCGAAGUGACAGUCCAGCCAGGAACUGAGAAAUAUGUCACAACAAAUUCUUUUUAAAUAUAAAAUAAUUUCACAUGCUCUGCAGACCAUUACCAUUUUGUAAUUUUAAAGAGAGAUGAAGACAAUCCUUGCACAAGGACGUUUCAGGUGUUCUUUACCCAUAACCAUUUUUAGUGAUUACAACUUUUUUAUUCUAUUGCUAUGUUUGCUGAUUAUGUACUUCAUGUAAAACAUCUUAAGGAAAUCAUCCUUUACACUGUAUGAUUUGCAUUCGUCAUUAUUUUUUACUAUGACUAGUAUAACUAUUAUACUAUGACUAUAACCUCUUUAAUUCAUUCCAUGAAAGAUUUGAAAAAAAAAAAAGAAAAGAAAUUAGACCUACUUUUUGGAUCAUUAAGUAGUGCAUAAUCUUCAAAUGGGACAUUAAAAACUGUAAUCAGUGACAUCACCAUGACAACCGAUUAAGAAUUGUCUAGAGAAGCCUCUGAAAAUGCAAUUUUUUAAUAUAAUACAUUUAAAUGAGUUCAUCAGAACAAAGCACUCUAAGUAGAUUUAUUAUGAAUUGAACAUCUAGAAAUAAUUUGGAUAUACAAUGAACACUGAAAUUUUUUCACUCUGACUUCAGGAGAUAGGGGGUGGCAUCAAAAUUCUUUCUUGACUUUGAUAGACUUAGCAGGGGAGGGAAUAUCAAAGAAAAAAUCAGUUGUCUUGCACUAACAGACUGGAUUUCAUUAACUGGUUUUGGGGCAUGCUUCUUCCUGUAUUAUUUAGUCUCCUAACGUGUAGCUACAGUUUACACCAGGUGAGGGCCUCUAAGAAUUAGGCAUUGCUUAAAUUCCCCUUACGCUUUAGCCUGAUGAUCUUACAUGAAGCUAUGCCCACUGUCCUGCUCACUCUAAUGAGUGAAACUGGAAGCAGCAGAAACAUCAUUCUGUCACAUAUCAACAGUAAAAUAUAAAUAAAACAUCAUACAAUGUCUACUUGCAGUAUAUUGUGUUACAUACCUAUAUAAACGAUAUGCUUAGUAGUUGAGGAAAAAAUACUCAUGGGACUAAAGGCCAAUCAAAAUAAUAUUUUUAUCUGUAUCACAGAAGAUUAAAGAGAAAUACAUAUAUACAUGUUUUACAGAUAAUCUGUUUGAAAAGAUUAGCUAUACUUAACAAGAGUAAACUACCCAGCAUGCAUGAGCCCUGGCUCAUCCUCAGAACAGCUAAAAGAAUGUAGGAAUUUCUUCCUCAUGUCUCCCAGUUUCCAAGUUGCCUCUCUAAGUUACAGCUUGUUCUUGUCUUUUAUGGUUAUGUCUCCUUCUUCUGCCAGCUGUAUUUUUUAUGCCCUUUUCUAGAACAGAACUUGCACUAGUGACGUUGUUGCAAGCAGACUGCAUGUUUAGAACAAAGACUUUCCACAACGCUGCCUUGUUUCUGCAUGUUCUAAAGCCAGUCCAACUCACAGUCCAAGACUGUGCAACACUUUUCACAAUGCACAUGAAGGAGACAUCUGUACAGUUAAGUAGAUCUUUGUUGAAGACUGAUUUGAAAAUAGAUCUUCACAACAAUCUAAAACCUUGACAGACAACAUGGAAGUCAAAGACGGGGCUGAAUCAAACUUUCACUGCUACACAGUAAUGUUAUUGCAAUACAAGAGUGGAUGCCUGCUCAUCCUUCUGCUUUAGAAGAACUUCAGAAGUUAUCCUAUCUCACGGUUUUUAAGGAAUGAAGGAAGACAACAUCUAAUUCAUCUAAUAAGCACAGUGGCAGCGUUCGGAUUGCUGGCCUCUCG